AUUGGAAUCUCUUGAGAAAACGGU
rnacentral:miRNA from 1 species